rnacentral:sRNA from 1 species
UAUAAAAAUUGCUUGUUAUAGCCAUUCAGGGUUGCCUUCUAGUCACUUGCCACAGGAGGUUGAUUGAGGAUCAAUCCCUGAUGCACCAGAAGAAAUAAAUCUCUUGCAUUUGCAUCAAAUUCCAUUCUCAUGUCUCACUUGGGGUGGGAGGAGUGUCUCCCAGUAGAUAAGACUCACUUUGAAUCUUACAUUUGGUGUGUUGGCCAGCAAGCAAGGCCCCCUAUGAGAUUUUAAGGAAUGGUGGUCGGUGAAACAGCUCAAGCUUGAUGUCAUGUACCAUGGUUGUCUGUAUCUAUGUUGUGUGUAUCCAUGUUUUCUAUCUUGCUUUUGGUUUGCUCAUGAGCAUCUGUAAGGCUUAGAGAGUCUCUGGCCUUGUACAGUCAAAUUGCAGCUGGCAGACAUGCCUUAAAGUUGUGACCAGGUAAGUCUGUGACUGCAGGGAGUUUGGAGGAUGCUUCAUGCCCCCACACCUGGAGGGAGUCAGGAGGACUCUGCUCUUUUUGGAACAUGUUAGACUCAAUAACAGCAUAAGUUGGCCAAGUCACCUGAUUACAUGGUUUCUGUGCCCAUGGCAGGGGCAAGCUGUCUGUGUAUUGAUUGUCUUUCUCUUUGUUUUUGGACUUCAGUAUCAGCAGGAGCCAAUCGAGUCUUGCUCUGCAAGGGUGAGCUGUUUGAAUUUUGAUUGUCUUUCUCUGUGUUCUUGGACUUCGACUUAAGCUAUUUUUGGACAUGAGACAGACUGAAUCUAACCUAUUAAACAUCCUAGUUAACCACUGGAGGGAGGUUGGGGAAAGAGGAGAAAACUUGUCAGUAGUAGUAAAGAAGGGAAGGUUAGUUACUUUCUGCUCCUCCAAAUUGCCCACCUUUGGAGUAGGGUGGCCACCUGUAGAGACCUUUGACUUUCAGGUGAUCUAAGAAAUAAAGGAAAGAGUCUUUAGACUAGCAUCCCUCAGCCACCCAGACCAAGUGCCCUAUAUAGUUACCCAGAAGGAUUUAGUAAAGGACCUCAUCCCUUCCCUUGGAUAAAAGCUUUUUUUGUCUCCAAGACUGUCCCAGGUCCUGGUCAUGAAGGAGAAGAAUCUCAUAGAGAACAACGAGUCUGUGAAGAACAUCAUCAUCUAGGACCCUUCCACAGCAGUUCUGAUACUGAUGGAUCCUCCACCCCCUUACCUCCCUACCAUGGUCCCAGUUCCCACAGCCCCUCCUCAAGGAUCUCCCUUGAGCCCUCAUACAGCAUGCCUUUAUCCCCCACUUCUUCUGGUCCCAGCAAGGCGGAGGGUGGGGAAGGACCCUCAGAACUGGGACUGGCCAUGGGAACCUGGAGCAAAAGGGCCACUUCAUCUGAUACAACAGUGGCCCACCCCCUCUGAUCCUGCAGGCCCAUAGAUGAGGAUUUCAAUCAGGCCAUGCAAUAUUAGCCUUUCUUUUCAGCUGACUUGUAUAACUAGAAGGCCCAAUACCCCCCUUUUCAGAUAACAUCAAGGGGCUGAUUAAUCUCAGACUGUUUUAUUUACUCAUCAGCCCACCUGGGAUGAUAGCCAACAACUCAUGAGAGUGCUCUUCAUGACUGAAGAUUGAGAGAAGAUAGCAGGAAGCCAGAAAAAAUGUCCCCUCAGAUAUGGGGGCACCAACAAUUGACCAGGCUGCCAUUGACAGGGGAUUUCUGCUGACUAGACCUGACUGGGACUUUAAUACAGCAGGAGCUCAUGUUCACGGGGCUAUAUACUAAGAGAGAAGACUCAUAUCAGAGGGAAAAGAAAUAAAAAACAAGCAGGAAAUCUUGGAACUCUUGGAUGCUCUGAUGAAGCCAGCAACUGAAUGCCAAAGACCACUCACCAUUUCCAGACUGAUGACUGGGUCUACAUCCAGAGGCAUCAGGCACAAUUGUUGGAACCCUGGUGGAAGAGACCCUUCCUGGUACUGUUAACCACUUCAACAGUCCUCAAGGUGGAUGAUAUUGCGGCCUUGGUGUAUGUGUUUGGUGUGAAACCUGCAGACACCCCACUUCCCAGGGACUCCUGCUGCUGCCAUGUGCCCAUCAAACCUGGACCAUGGUUUGGAUCUCAGAACCCAUGUCUGGUAGUUAACAAUUCUCUCUCUCUCU